CAGGUAGGAAAUAUAUAAUCAACCAUUACAGGUGCAUUCUGUAUUGAGGUAUGUAGAGAGGGAUCUCUUAAAGGACUUUAGGCUUAGGGAAGAUUUUAAAUUGAGCGGGAGGUCAGUCCAUAAUUGUGGUGCUCUGUAGGAGAAGGAGGAUCGGGCCGCUUUCUUUUUGUAUUGAGGUAGGCUAAAUAAAGUGUUGGUACUGGAUCGAAGGUUAUAGGAAGUGGGAACAGCUGGGGAAAGCAUUUUGUUCAGGUAGGGUGGAAGUUUCCCAGAAAAGCUCUUAAACACAAGGCUGGAAAGAUGGACUCCAGCGCCAGCCAGUUUAGUUCUUUAAGCAGGUCACAAUGGUGAGUCCUGUAAUUACAUUGUAUAACUCGUUCUACCGAUUUGUGCUACAAUGUGUUGAGUUUAUUAAUGUGGGAUUGCGAUGCAGAUGCAUAUACUACACCCCCAUAAUCAAUGAUUGGCAUCAGCAUUUGCUGUACAAUCUUUUCCUUUACUGUAGGGCUUAGGCAGGAUUUGUUUCUGUACAGGGCACCUAGUUUUGGAUAAAGUUUAAAUGCAAGCUUUUCUGUGUGCAGGCCAAAAGAUAGAUUGGGGUCUAACAUCAUACCCAAGUAUUUGAAAGAGUGGACUGCGGUCAGUGUGCCAUUUGAAUUUGUUUUGAUUGAUAGGUGGGAAUUGUGUAAUUUGUGUAAUUUAGGUACUGUUCCAAAGAUCAUUGUGACAGUUUUGUCAGUUUUUUUUUUUUGCGAUCCACUUUUCUACCUCUGUAAACUGGUCUUGGAGCACAUUCUCAAGCUGCGGUAGAUUGGAUUUGCUUGCAUAGAUUACUGUGUCAUCUGCGUACAUGUGUACAUUUGAGGAUUUGCAGACAUUAGGCAGAUCAUUUAUAAAUAAUGUAAAUAGUAGGGGGCCGAGAAUGGAACCAUAGGCAACACCACACGUGACUGGGAUAGGGAGGGAGUCGCGGUCAGAAAUGGACACAUAUUGCGGGCGAUCCGAUACAUACAAUCGAAACCAGGUUAGCAAACGAUCACCAAUACCUGAGUUUUUGAGUUUGUGCAGUAGAAUGUCGUGGUCUACUUUGUCAAAUGCCUUUGCAAAAUCAAGGAAAAUAGCUCCAGUUAGGUCUCAUUGUUCCAUGCCAGUUUGGAUGUCAUUGCAAACUUUUAAGAGGGCAGUUGUAGUGGAGUGAUUCUGGCGAAAGCCCGACUGAUCAGGGGUCAGAUAGUUUGAUUGUUGGUAGUACUCACUCGGAUCUGACGUCGGCAUGGGUGGAGAGUUCCCCAGCACAGAGGGAGCCUGGUGCUGGAGAAAAGUAAGUGGCUGAAGGGGUUUUAACCCAGGGGGGGCUCCGAGGGUGGGUGGGACCUAGUAGUGCCAGGAAAACAAGUUUGUUUUCCUGGCACUAUAGCGCUUCUUUAAAAACUGAAGUGGAAAUAUCACAUUUCUAAAUCUUAGUGACAUUUGAAAAGUUGGAGAAUAAGUGGUUUCUUUUAAGUACUCGAAUACAAAUGAUUCCCAUUACACUAAAUUCCUUGCUACUAGCAGUAAUGUGUUUUGUUUUUUUUUGCUCGUAGCAAUGCUUUUCAAAAAUGUGUUUCCUUAGUCACCAUUUAACUGGCAAAAAUGUCUGGUUAGCUUCCUUUACGUUUUUG